rnacentral:misc_RNA from 1 species
AAUAACCAGUUCCAAUAUUAGGGUUCUACAAUGUCCUGAGUCCGCUGCACUUCCAGAUAUUCAUCAUAAAGAGACAGCCUCUAGGAUCUGCUCUAUGUCCAAACUACUCUGUCUUCCAGAGGUGAAGCACUAUCGUGGAAAUAUAAAUCUCGAGGAUUUCUGUGCCCGGGACAAGGACGGAUGGAAAGCUCUGGAACUCCUCACUACAGCAGAACUAGGAAUAUCCAGACUUCUCUCUCUCCGGAGAAAAUUCCAGUACGAUCUGACCGUGGCGGAGGGGGCGGAAAAGCAGGACGCUAUGGAGGAGAUGGAGAGGUUUAUCCAGAGUUUAUGUAGAUGUGGAGAGGUAAGGGUACCCGGAGCAGCUAGAGGUCCGGCAGGACGGUUAAUUCAAGCUCUUUUCCGGGAGAGUAAUCAGAUAAAUCAUCCUCGACCUUCAGGUCUUCCUCCUCCCGUCGUUAAACAGUUUACUCUCAGAUGUGUAUCUGGGAGACCUCUUCCCUCCUCCCGUCCUACUCCGCAGCGUCUUUAUGCAAGGUUCAGCUCCGGAGAGUUUAGACUCACUGGAGCUUACACUCUGGAUAGACAAUAUUUAUAAUCAAUUCUAACCAUCUUAAUCCAAGUUUCAUUCAGAAUGCUUAAAAGACUGGUCGCAAAAAAGUAUUAAUUAUCUUUUACUUUUAAUAUAUAUCCUUAAUUGAAUUUCAUGAUCUUCCUACAACUAAAAUAUAGAAUUUAUGUGAUAAAUAUGUGAUCUUUAAUUUCCUAGUAUAUAUUAACGUAAUUUGUAAUGUCUUUCUUAUUAUGUCUAAAACUUUAAAGAUUAAAAUAUUUCUCAACUUUGCA